UACGUAGGGUGCGAGCGUUGUUCGGAAUCACUGGGCGUAAAGCGCAUGCAGGCGGAUUGUUAAGUCGGGGGGUGAAAUCCCGAGGCUCAACCUCGGAACUGCCUUCGAUACUGGCAAUCUUGAGUCCGGGAGAGGUGAGUGGAACUGCGAGUGUAGAGGUGAAAUUCGUAGAUAUUCGCAAGAACACCAGUGGCGAAGGCGCUCACUGGCCCGUUACUGACGCUGAGGCACGAAAGCCAGGGGGAGCAAACGGG
rnacentral:rRNA from 1 species